AAAGGUUCUCAGGGCGGGGUGGAAGUCCCCACCGGCGGUAAUCUCUCACAUCGCGCAUGCUUCCCUGUAUUGGAGCAUGCAUGGAGAGUCAGCCCGCGAGCGCCUUUCCGCCACAGCCACGCCAGCGCGGAGAGGGUCGAGCAGAUUCGGUGAGAUUCCGAAGCCGACGGUUAUAGUCCGGAUGGAAGAGAACGGCA
rnacentral:ncRNA from 1 species